CCUACGGGUGGCAGCAGUGGGGAAUAUUGCACAAUGGGGGAAACCCUGAUGCAGCGACGCCGCGUGAGUGAAGAAGGAUUGCGGUAUGUAAAGCUCUAUCAGCAGGGAAGAAAAAGACGGUACCUGAGUAAGAAGCCACGGCUAACGACGUGCCAGCAGCCGCGGUAAUACGUAGGGGGCAAGCGUGAUCCGGAUUUACGGGGUGUAAAGGGAGCGUAGCCGGCAGCACCAGUCUGGAGUGACAUGCCGGGGCUUAACCCCGGAACUGCUUUGGAAACUGUGCAGCUAGAGUGCAGGAGAGGUAAGUGGAAUUCCUAGUGUAGCGGUGAAAUGCGUAGAUAUUAGGAGGAACACCAGUGGCGCAGGCGGCUUACUGGACUGUAACUGACGUUGAGGCUCGAAAGCGUGGGGAGCAAACCGGAUUAGAUACCCCUGUAGUC
rnacentral:rRNA from 1 species